rnacentral:rRNA from 1 species
AGGCUUUGAUCCUGGCUCAGGACGAACGCUGGCGGCGUGCCUAACACAUGCAAGUCGAGCGAAGCAUAGAAGGUAGCUUGCUAUCUUUUAUGACUGAGCGGCGAACGGGUGAGUAACACGUGGGUGAUCUACCUGAAAGUCUGGGAUAACAGUUCGAGAGGGCUACUAAUACCGGAUGACAUUGGUGCUGUAGAGGCAUCAAUCAAAGCGUUACGGAGCGCUUUCAGAUGAGCCCGCGUCCCAUUAGUUAGUUGGUAGGGUAACGGCCUACCAAGGCGACGAUGGGUAGCCGGUCUGAGAGGAUGGUCGGCCACACUGGAACUGAGACACGGUCCAGACUCCUACGGGAGGCAGCAGUGGGGAAUUUUGCGCAAUGGGGGCAACCCUGACGCAGCGACGCCGCGUGAGCGAAGAAGGCCUUCGGGUUGUAAAGCUCUGUUGAGGGGGAAGAUAGUGACGGUACCCUCUUAAGCAAGCCCCGGGUA